rnacentral:rRNA from 1 species
UUCCAGACUCCUACGGGAGGCAGCAGUGGGGGAUAUUGCACAAUGGGGGAAACCCUGAUGCAGCAACGCCGCGUGAGUGAAGAAGUAUUUCGGUAUGUAAAGCUCUAUCAGCAGGGAAGAGAAUGACGGUACCCGACUAAGAAGCCCCGGCUAACUACGUGCCAGCAGCCGCGGUAAUACGUAGGGGGCAAGCGUUAUCCGGAUUUACUGGGUGUAAAGGGAGCGUAGACGGCCAGACAAGUCUGAAGUGAAAAUCCAGCGCUUAACGGUGGAAGUGCUUUGGAAACUGCCGGGCUAGAGUGCAGGAGGGGCAGGCGGAAUUCCUAGUGUAGCGGUGAAAUGCGUAGAUAUUAGGAGGAACACCAGUGGCGAAGGCGGCCUGCUGGACUGCAACUGACGUUGAGGCUCGAAGGCGUGGGGAGCAAACAGGAUUAGAUACCCGCGUA